UCAGGUUGCAUCAUCAAUAUAUCAAGUGUAUUGUCUACUGUCACAUCGAAGAUCCCUGGAAAUUGUUCUUAUUCCAUGUCCAAGGCAGCCAUGGAUGCCUUCACUCGAGGAUUAGAACAUGAGUUAGCGCCCUUUGGAGUGCGAGCAAAUACUACAAGGCCUGGACUCAUACGAAGCAAUUUUCUGAGACGUGAUAACGUUCCUGGUUUAGGAUAUGAAGAAUCAUACA